AAAGAGUAGAGAAGGCCCUACAAGUUUUGCUUGCACACAACUUGGAUGCAAGUGAGCAAAAAGUACGGCAGGUGUCGGCCAUCUUUUUUUUUGUUCGGGCAUGAUUUUUGUGCUAUGCGCAUAGCAUAGCCAUCGGCGCCUAAGGGUUUGAAGCGGUUGAAAUAUUUCGCAUAAAUUUUCAUGAAAUUUUUCACAUUUGAAAAAAAAUCAUCAUUAUGGCGUUUAAAUCGUAUUCGGUUGCAGACUUUCCCAAUGUGUUGAUGCUUUUGUCUUUCCUACUGAGAGUUAGAUAUUAGAGAAAAUAACUGAAAAUAGAUAGGAAUAUCUUUUUCUUCGCUUAAGCGGUAUUUAUUUAUUAUGUUUAAAAACGAACGUUCGGGUACGGGCCCGGAUAAUCGCGCCAACUGAAUUGGUUGAUCUGUGAUACCACUGUGCGAAUUGACAGCAUAGCACCAUUGUUGUUUAUAAAAUCGUUUGCUGUGUAAACAUUGCAAAUUAUCAAAUUCAGAAGCGCUUUAUACAUUAUAAACUAAGUUAUAUAAUGCCCUAUUUGAUUGCAUCUGGUAAAAUAUUCCUCGUUUACUUGCAGAUAAUUACGUACUCCCAAAUUAAACACCCGAUCGUCAAUUUAUUAUAAAAGUUGAGGCUGAUCAUCUAAAUCAAGUUUGUUCAGAACUGAAGCGGUUGAACUAAUCCCGAAAAUGACUGUAUCAAUGUAUCAAUGUAAUCACAAUUCGUGAUACCUUCAUUCAACUUUAUGGUGACAAAUAGUCAUUCCUCUUAAUAAUCGCAUAAAAACGCUUGCGGCUACAACAUUUUCUACAACAAACCUUACACGCCACACAAAGAUGUAGGUGUGAAUAUACAUUGCUGUGUGACAAGUGGUUUUUUUUUUUUAACUUGGACGAUUGUAUUGGUAAAGCAAAACUCUUUUCAAAAAAACAUGGAAACAGGCCAAACACGAAAAUAUUUAUACAUGGUCCAUAAUGCAAACUGGAUGGGUGGAUACUUACGAAUCAAAUUGGUCAUAAAGGCUAUAUAUAACAAAUAGCGCUAUAUGAAUAUGUCACAGUUUUUCUUAUCUUGGCUCACAGCAGCUGAUUAUAAAGAUUCGUCAUCCUUAUUUUAACUGCCCGGUAGAUUAAGAUGGUGAUCCAAUGGAGCGUUUGGUCUCAAAGCAGUUUUUACAAACGCCGAAUACGUAGCGUUCGAUCACUUAAUCCGCAUAACCGAUAUAGCGGAAUUUGGGGCAAGUAAUACAGCUGUAGCUGAGGCUGGAUAACCUACGGCUUGUAACAUCUCGUACUGCUCGUUAACUCGUGAGGCGAGCAUUUAUGUACAGGUCAAAGAAAUUGCCUCAUCACUCAGAAAGAAAGAACUCAUCACUCCAACUCAUACGUUAUCCAAAUCAUAUCACAUAGAUCACAUCACCCAGCGUUGAACGGCGUUAGACCUAAUUGAAACGAAUGUUUUCUCCACAUAACGUAAUCCUUUCUUGUGUAAGGAGUGCAACUCAGAAGACUGCUUGAUGCUGUUUUCAAAUUGGGGUCAAAAACUGAUCCAUUGUGUUUUCUAAAAGGUGUUACGUAUGUUCUUUAGAACCACCUUUGAUUUGUUAGCGCAAAAGAAAUUGCGUCGCUUCUUUCCAUCGAGGAUAAUCAUAUGCAUAAAUCCAACGCUUCCGACGGCUCCGACGGCUCCGGACAAUUCCGACGGCUCCGUCGGCUGCAACGGCUCCAACGGCUCCGAAGGCUCCGGACGGCUCCGGACGGCGCCGACGGCUCCGACAGCUCCGGACGGCUCCGAAUGCUCCAGCUGUCGACUAGUGGCUCCAGACGGCUCCGACGGCUCCGGGCGGAAUCGACGGUUUGAAUUAUUCGAAAUCGGAGCCGGAGUAGCAAUGCUCGGAAGCGAUUCCGAGCCGUGGGUGCGAUUCCGGUGACCCAUCAUGUGAAAUUUGCGUAUGUUUUUCCUCGAUAGCUAGAUGUCCGAACAUUUCGAAGUCUCUACGCAUGACAUAAAAAAAUAAUUUAACUGCGAAUGUAUCGUCCAAGGCGCUCGCGAGAGACGUUUCACUGUCCUGUGCAGUACUACUCAGGAGGCUCGAGAUGCUAAAAUUAUAUUUACGAAUGUUGUCACAAUAAUGAAAAGAAUGAAUUAAUGUAUAUUUUCUUAAAAAUGUAAUGUUUUAUAUUUUAUGCUUAUUUUUUUUAAAUAUUUUAUGAUUAGCAAAUGACGAUCAAAACAGCAUGUAUGUACAUAUUCGUAGAAAACUUUUAUUGUUUACAAAAUGUGCAAAGUACGUUGAAAAUUACAACGUUAUUAUUAAAAUAAAAUACGUCAAUUAAUGAAUAAAUACAUA